CCUACGGGGGGCAGCAGUGGGGAAUAUUGGGCAAUGGAGGAAACUCUGACCCAGCAACGCCGCGUGAAUGAUGAAGGUCUUCGGAUUGUAAAGUUCUUUUCUAAGGGAAGAAGAAAGUGACGGUACCAUAGGAAUAAGCUUCGGCUAACUACGUGCCAGCAGCCGCGGUAAUACGUAGGAGGCGAGGGUUUUCCGGAAUGACUGGGCGUAAAGGGUGCGGUGGGGGUUUGGCAAGUUAGUAGGGUAAAUCCAAGGCUCAACCUUGGAAAUACUACUAAAACUGUUGGACUUGAGUGCAGGAGAGGCAACCGGAAUUCCAAGUGUAGCGGUAGAAUGCGUAGAUAUAAGGAGGAACACCAGUGGCGAAGGCGGGUGGCUAGACUGUAACUGACACUGAGGCACGAAAGCGUGGGGAGCAAACAGGAUUAGAUACCCCGGUAGUC
rnacentral:rRNA from 1 species